GCCCUUCAGCAACUGUAGGAGCGGGCGUGGUGUCGUCGCUACUGUCAAAUCCUGGACCCGGCAGCCGACUUUUUCCUGACUUGGACAUCAGCAGCGGAAGCAAGGGAAGUUUCAAGACACACAGUAAAGUUUGCUUCAGUCCAGGGAUCACAGUGCACAAAACCCGAGCAUACUUCUCUCUGAGCUCUCCGUGAUGUUGAAAAAGGAAGCCCAGGGCAGAGGAGACUAGCACAGCCCCAGCAUUCCUGAGCACUCCUUGUGAUGGAAGCUUCUUCAAGGAUGACCAAAUGCUUACCCCGCCUUGUGCCCAGCUCAGUGCAGACAGAAGUCACUACACUGAACGAGAACUACAACCAGGAAGCAGUCUCCGCCCUGAGAAGCAGCCAUUAGUACACAGAGGGUAUGCUCACAUAAAAGAAGAAAAACUUUCCUUUGUGGGGAUAUAUUUUUACUGAAAAAUCUUUCUCGCCAACAUGCAUGAGAAGCAUUGGGUUGAUCAGAUGUGCCACCUUACUGAUUGAUGCCUGAUGGACAUAG
ensembl:lincRNA Gm2762 predicted gene 2762